rnacentral:rRNA from 1 species
UGGGGAAUAUUGGACAAUGGGCGAAAGCCUGAUCCAGCAAUGCCGCGUGUGUGAAGAAGGUCUUCGGAUUGUAAAGCACUUUCGACAGGGACGAUGAUGACGGUACCUGUAGAAGAAGCCCCGGCUAACUUCGUGCCAGCAGCCGCGGUAAUACGAAGGGGGCUAGCGUUGCUCGGAAUGACUGGGCGUAAAGGGCGCGUAGGCGGAUGGCACAGUCAGAUGUGAAAUUCCCGGGCUUAACCUGGGGACUGCAUUUGAUACGUGUUAUCUAGAGUGAGGAAGAGGGUCGUGGAAUUCCCAGUGUAGAGGUGAAAUUCGUAGAUAUUGGGAAGAACACCGGUGGCGAAGGCGGCGACCUGGUCCUUUACUGACGCUGAGGCGCGAAAGCGUGGGGAGCAAACAGG